rnacentral:lncRNA from 1 species
UGUUGCUCUGAAUGCCCUAACUCCCCUAGCUCUAUGUUAUGAUCCCCCACAUCGUUAAGUAAGUCUCGAAAGUAUGUCUGCCACCUCUGCUUGACUUGAGACUCCCCCAUCAGAACUCGACCAUCCUCGCCCUUGAUGCACCUAACUUGGUCAAGAUCACGCGCCUUCCUUUCCCUUUCUUUAGCUAACCGAAAUAACUUCCUGUCCCAGCCUUUCUCCCCU